rnacentral:rRNA from 1 species
GACAUUGGCGCACCUGGCCCGCCACGGUUACGUGUUGUGAGUGCCGGGAUGCGCCUGUCACUUUUCUUGUGCAAACUAUUGUGCUCUUCAUUGAGUGUGAUAGGUAGCCAGAUAUUUUACUUUGAAAAAAUUAGAGUGUUUAAAGCAGGCGUGUUUUGCUAUGAAUACAUUAGCAUGGAAUAAUAAGUUAGGACUUCGGUUCUAUUUUGUUGGUUUCUAGGACUGAAGUA